AUUGAACGCUGGCGGCAGGCUUAACACAUGCAAGUCGAACGAGUGGCGGACGGGUGAGUAAUUCUUGGGAAUCUUGCUUAUGGAGGGGGAUAACGACGGGAAACUGUCGCUAAUACCGCGUACCAUAGGUUGAGCCCAAGUGGGAUUAGGUAGUUGGUGGGGUAAUGGCCUACCAAGCCGACGAUCUCUAGCUGGGCUGAGAGGAUGACCAGCCCCACCGGGACUGAGUCGCGGACCGGACUCCUACGGGAGGCAGCAGUGGGGAAUAUUGCGCAAUGGGGGCAACCUGACGCAGCCAUGCCGCGUGAAUGAAGAAGGCCUUCGGGUUGUAAAGUUCUUUCGGUGACGAGGCGAUAAACACAGAAGAAGCACAGGCUAACUCCGUGCAAGCAGCCGCGGUAAUAC
rnacentral:rRNA from 1 species